rnacentral:rRNA from 1 species
UGGGGAAUAUUGCACAAUGGGCGCAAGCCUGAUGCAGCCAUGCCGCGUGUAUGAAGAAGGCCUUCGGGUUGUAAAGCACUUUCAGCGGGGAGGAAGGCGUUAAGGUUAAUAACCUUGGCGAUUGACGUUACCCGCAGAAGAAGCACCGGCUAACUCCGUGCCAGCAGCCGCGGUAAUACGGAGGGUGCAAGCGUUAAUCGGAAUUACUGGGCGUAAAGCGCACGCAGGCGGUCUGUCAAGUCGGAUGUGAAAUCCCCGGGCUCAACCUGGGAACUGCAUUCGGAACUGGCAGGCUAGAGUCUUGUAGAGGGGGGUAGAAUUCCAGGUGUAGCGGUGAAAUGCGUAGAGAUCUGGAGGAAUACCGGUGGCGAAGGCGGCCCCCUGGACAAAGACUGACGCUCAGGUGCGAAAGCGUGGGGAGCAAACAGG